rnacentral:lncRNA from 1 species
ACGUGGAAUUACAAUUCUUCAGAAAAUCAUCCUUCAGCUACAUGCAAAGAGAAUAGCAGGAUACCAAAACCAAUAUUUUAUUAGUUUGGGAUUAUUCACCUUAUUUUAAGGUAAUAUGCCUUAUUUUAAGGUGAGAUUAUUUACCUUACUUUAUUAGUAUUUGAUUAGAUCANNNNNNNNNNNNNNNNNNNNNNUUCCAUUAUUAUUAUUUUUAAAAUUGAUUAAUAAUUUAAUAUCAACUUAGCCAAUAGUAUUUCUAGCUCCUAGUAUAUACCAGGGACUUCAAGUGUUAUAGAUGAAGAAAACAUGUUCCUUGGCCUUGAUGAAGAAGAUAUAGUGGACAUUAUAAGAUCUGAUACAUAUAUGACUAUAUAUAUAUAUUUGUGUUGGUGAGAUACUAAGAUAGUAAAGAAUAAGAUGCUAAAAGAAGGAGAAAUCAAGCCAGUGGAGUGACUUGAUUUCUCCUGACUUCCCUGACUUCCCUUCAAGUCAGGGAAGACUUGAAGGAGGAAGGAGGCAUCAUUUGAGCUGACUCUUGAAAUAUAACUAGAAUUUUGUCAAAAAAAAAAAAAAGUAAAAAGCCUAAAAAAAAAGGAACAAUUUGAAUUGCAAGUUAUGUGGCUGGAGGACAGGAACAGCACAAUAAUCAAAGCUAGAGCUGGAAGAUGGCUGAGGCUAUAGAUGCUAACAAGAGGUGAGCAUGUGCAACCCAGGAAAAGCUUUGGAAGAGAGGGAUGACAGGGUGAGGGAGGCUCUAUACAGCUUAACCUGGCAUGUGGGGUGCUUUAUAGGGGAGAAGGGAGCAGAGAGGCCAAUGGGGGCCUGACCUAGAACAAUGACAUCAGGAAGGGGAAAGAAAUUAUAUGGAGGUAUGCUAAUAACCACAAUAAGGGGACUGAGCAUCAGUCAGCAACUAGUUACAGCAGAGAAGAAGGAAGGAGUCAAGGAAGCCUUCAUGUCCAGUCUGCAGGUGACCAAGAGCACGUCCCUACAGGCAGCGGGACCCGGGAAAACUGGGAGAGGAAUUGGUUCAAAAGGGAUGGUUGCGAGUUUGGUUUGAACAUAAA